rnacentral:tRNA from 1 species
GCCUUCGUGGUGUAGUGGCCAGAACGCUCGCUGCGUAUUCGAGAGAUCCGUGAUUCGAAUCCCGGUGAGGGCA